rnacentral:rRNA from 1 species
UGGGGAAUUUUGGACAAUGGGCGAAAGCCUGAUCCAGCAAUGCCGCGUGUGUGAAGAAGGCCUUCGGGUUGUAAAGCACUUUUGUCCGGAAAGAAAUCCUUGGCUCUAAUACAGUCGGGGGAUGACGGUACCGGAAGAAUAAGCACCGGCUAACUACGUGCCAGCAGCCGCGGUAAUACGUAGGGUGCAAGCGUUAAUCGGAAUUACUGGGCGUAAAGCGUGCGCAGGCGGUUUGCUAAGACCGAUGUGAAAUCCCCGGGCUCAACCUGGGAACUGCAUUGGUGACUGGCAGGCUAGAGUAUGGCAGAGGGGGGUAGAAUUCCACGUGUAGCAGUGAAAUGCGUAGAGAUGUGGAGGAAUACCGAUGGCGAAGGCAGCCCCCUGGGCCAAUACUGACGCUCAUGCACGAAAGCGUGGGGAGCAAACAGGAUUAGUACCCUGGUAGUCCCACGCCCUAAAACCGAUGUCAACUAGUUGUUGGGGAUUCAAUUUCCUUAGUAACGUAGCUAACGCG